rnacentral:rRNA from 1 species
ACGGGUGAGUAAUGUCUGGGGAUCUGCCCGAUAGAGGGGGAUAACCACUGGAAACGGUGGCUAAUACCGCAUAACGUCGCAAGACCAAAGGGGGGGACCUUCGGGCCUCUCACUAUCGGAUGAACCCAGAUGGGAUUAGCUAGUAGGCGGGGUAACGGCCCACCUAGGCGACGAUCCCUAGCUGGUCUGAGAGGAUGACCAGCCACACUGGAACUGAGACACGGUCCAGACUCCUACGGGAGGCAGCAGUGGGGAAUAUUGCACAAUGGGCGCAAGCCUGAUGCAGCCAUGCCGCGUGUAUGAAGAAGGCCUUCGGGUUGUAAAGUACUUUCAGCGGGGAGGAAGGCGAUGUGGUUAAUAACCGCGUCGAUUGACGUUACCCGCAGAAGAAGCACCGGCUAACUCCGUGCCAGCAGCCGCGGUAAUACGGAGGGUGCAAGCGUUAAUCGGAAUUACUGGGCGUAAAGCGCACGCAGGCGGUCUGUUAAGUCAGAUGUGAAAUCCCCGGGCUUAACCUGGGAACUGCAUUUGAAACUGGCAGGCUUGAGUCUCGUAGAGGGGGGUAGAAUUCCAGGUGUA